rnacentral:rRNA from 1 species
ACCUACGGGGGGCAGCAGUAGGGAAUCUUCCACAAUGGGCGAAAGCCUGAUGGAGCAACGCCGCGUGGGUGAAGAAGGUCUUCUGAUCGUAAAACCCUGUUGUUAGAGAAGAAAGUGCGUGAGAGCAACUGUUCACGUUUCGACGGUAUCUAACCAGAAAGCGACGGCUAACUACGUGCCAGCAGCCGCGGUAAUACGUAGGUGGCAAGCGUUAUCCGGAUUUAUUGGGCGUAAAGGGAACGCAGGCGGGCUUUUAAGUCUGAUGUGAAAGCCUUGUG